AUUGAACGCUGGCGGCAGGCCUAACACAUGCAAGUCGAACGAGUGGCGGACGGGUGAGUAAUGUCUGUGAAACUGCCCGAUGGAGGGGGAUAACUACUGGAAACGGUAGCUAAUACCGCAUACCAUCGGAUGUGCCCAGAUGGGCUUAGCUAUUGGGGGGGGAAACGGCUCACCUAGGCGACGAACCCUAGCUGGUCUGGGAGGAUGACCGGCAAAACGGGAACUGGGACACGGUCAGGACUCCUACGGGAGGCAGCGGUGGGGAAUAGUGGACAGUGGGCGCAAGCCUGAUGCAGCCAUGCGGCGUGUAUGAAGAAGGCCUUCGGGGUGUAAAGUACGUUCAGCGAGGAGGCGGUACUCGCAGAAGAAGCACCGGCUAACUCCGUGCCAGCAGCCGCGGUAAUUC
rnacentral:rRNA from 1 species